UACGGAGAGUGCAAACGUUGUUCGGAUUCACUGGGCGUAAAGGGCACGUAGGCGGCUCGGCAAAUCGGUCGUGGAAUCCCGACGCUUACCGUCGGAACGGCGGCCGAAAAUACCGGGCUCGAGGGCGUGAGGGGUCACUGGAGCUCCUGGUGAAGCGGUGAAAUGCGUAGAUAUCAGGAGGAACACCGAUGGCGAAAGCGACCUGCUGGAUCUCUUCUGACGCUGAGGCGCGAAAGCUAGGGGAGCAAACGGG
rnacentral:rRNA from 1 species